UAACUGGAAUAUCUCAAAAGAUUUUCUCAAAUACUUUGUGGAACUGGCCAAAACAUUCCUUCAUAAAGUAACAUGUAGAAAUAGAGAGAUGGCAAAAAAAAUGUACAGCUUACAGAGUUUAAAAGCUUCUUACCAGUCAAAGAAAAGCAACCUGCUU